rnacentral:rRNA from 1 species
UAGGGAAUCUUCCACAAUGGACGCAAGUCUGAUGGAGCAACGCCGCGUGAGUGAAGAAGGUUUUCGGACCGUAAAGCUCUGUUGUUGGUGAAGAAGGAUAGAGGUAGUAACUGGCCUUUAUUUGACGGUAAUCAACCAGAAAGUCACGGCUAACUACGUGCCAGCAGCCGCGGUAAUACGUUGGUGGCAAGCGUUGUCCGGAUUUAUUGGGCGUAAAGCGAGCGCAGGCGGAAGAAUAAGUCUGAUGUGAAAGCCCUCGGCUUAACCGAGGAAUUGCAUCGGAAACUGUUUUCUUGAGUGCAGAAGAGGAGAGUAGAACUCCAUGUGUAGCGGUGGAAUGCGUAGAUAUAUGGAAGAAUACCAGUGGCGAAGACGGCUCUCUGGUCUGCAACUGACGCUGAGGCUCGAAAGCAUGGGUAGCGAACAGGAUUAGAUACCCCUUGGUAGUCCA